rnacentral:sRNA from 1 species
CCCUAGCCCAGAUAGAAGUAAAAAUCCUUUUGUGCCGGGUUUCGGCACAAAAGAUUGGAACGGAUAGCGGGAAAAAAG